GCCAAGUAAAUUAUAAAUUUCAUACAAGGAAGCAGAAUUUUUGUGUUUUUCCCAAUUCUCAAAAAAAAAAAAUUAAGCAGAUCUCACAUAGUAGAAAUCAGUCCUUCUUAUUAAAGAGACCACCAAAUCCUGCAAAUCCACCGCCAUUUGAAUUCUUCUUCGGAGGAACAGCAACAGAGUUCUUCCGCCCAGAACUGGUGGUGCUUACACUCUUAUCCUCUACUUUUUUCAGCAGUGGAUCUGUCUCCAAUAGCUGGUCUUGCUUCUGCAAUGCACCAAGUAUAAAAUCCAAAAGCGAUUUCUCCUCAGUACUUCCACCGGAGCUCUUCGACGCCGUAGCUGCGGUGUAUACUCUACUUCGAUGUUGUUGUGCGGUUACGGUUGCUAUCGGACUGACGAACAUGUUCAACGACGCCAUUGAGUUUCUAAAUUAGGGCUUUUUUUUUUG
rnacentral:misc_RNA from 1 species